GAUGAACGCUGGCGGCGUGCUUAACACAUGCAAGUCGAACGGAAAGGCCCAAGCUUGCUUGGGUACUCGAGUGGCGAACGGGUGAGUAACACGUGGGUGAUCUGCCCUGCACUUCGGGAUAAGCCUGGGAAACUGGGUCUAAUACCGGAUAGGACCACUUCUUGGAUGUUGUGGUGGAAAGUUUUCUCGGUGUGGUGUGAGCUCGCGGCCUAUCAGCUUGUUGGUGGGGUAAUGGGCUACCAAGGCGUCGACGGGUCACUGGCCGGAGAGGGGGUACAGCCACACUGGAACUGAGACACGGUCGAGAGUCCUACGGGAGGGCGCAGUGGGGAAGAGUGGACAAUGGGGGGAAGCCUGAUCCAGCCAUGCCGCGUGUGUGAAGAAGGUCUUCGGGUUGGAAAGCACUUUAAGUGGGGAGGAAGGGCAGGAACUUAAUAACUUGCUGUUUUGACGUUACCUACAGAAUAAGCACCGGCUAACUUCGUG
rnacentral:rRNA from 1 species